GGACGUAUAACUCAGUGGUAGAGUGCUUGCCUGAAACGCAUGAGGCCCUGGGUUUAAUCCCCAGCACCA
rnacentral:tRNA from 1 species